AGUGAACGCUGGCGGUAGGCCUAACACAUGCAAGUCGAACGGCAGCACAGUAAGAGCUUGCUCUUACGGGUGGCGAGUGGCGGACGGGUGAGGAAUACAUCGGAAUCUACUUUUUCGUGGGGGAUAACGUAGGGAAACUUACGCUAAUACCGCAUACGACCUACGGGUGAAAGCAGGGGAUCUUCGGACCUUGCGCGAUUGAAUGAGCCGAUGUCGGAUUUGCUAGUUGGCGGGGUAAAGGCCCACCAAGGCGACGAUCCGUAGCUGGUCUGAGAGGAUGAUCAGCCACACUGGAACUGAGACACGGUCCAGACUCCUACGGGAGGCAGCAGUGGGGAAUAUUGGACAAUGGGCGCAAGCCUGAUCCAGCCAUACUGCGUGGGUGAAGAAGGCCUUCGGGUUGUAAAGCCCUUUUGUUGGGAAAGAAAAGCAGCAGGUUAAUACCCCGCUGUUCUGACGGUACCCAAAGAAUAAGCACCGGCUAACUUCGUG
rnacentral:rRNA from 1 species